rnacentral:lncRNA from 1 species
UCUCAGGCCAGCUCCACUGUCAAGGCUGUGGCCACAAGGAGCAGACCAUCCAGGGCUGGGGGCACCCUCCCUGUUUCUCUGGGAGGCCUCUGUCACUGAGGAGGCCCGACUGGGUGCAGAGAUUGGGGAAACCAGCAGCCUUGGUAUUGGUCACAGGCCACAUGAGAACAACAGUGAAGUCAAGGUCUCCUCUAGACAAUGAAAUCAGGAAGAAUCCAAAUGACCUGACCCUGCGGCCCAUCUGUGAGUGUUCAAAAUCCAAUUAAGAGGACCUUCGGGAGCCAGCGACUAGAGUGUAAUUGGGUUGGGAUUGUAACCAGAAGAACUUACAGGGACACGGACCCUCUGCAUUGUGCCUGGGAGCGAAGGCACCGGCUAGGGGGUGGAGGGGCCGG